rnacentral:lncRNA from 1 species
UUUUACUCAAAUGUUAAAUAUAAAAAAAUAAAAAUACCGUUUUUUACAAACUUAAGCUUUUAGAAAUAAAUGGUUAUUUUAUUUAAUUUAACACGAUUCUAUCAUUAUUUAAUUUGUUCUCAUUUAAUUAAAUCCACGAUUUGGGUGUAUUAAAAAAUUUCAAACACCGUUCUCUUAUAGCUUAAGUUUUUUAGCUUUAGAAAAAUAAACGGUUGUUUCAUAUAAUUUAAUGCUAACCACGUGCGUAUUAAUAAAUGUUUUA